rnacentral:tRNA from 2 species
GGGUCGAUGCUCGAGUGGUUAAUGGGGACGGAUUGUAAAUCCGCUGGUAAUGCCUACGCUGGUUCAAAUCCAGCUCGACCCA